rnacentral:rRNA from 1 species
ACCCCAGCCCAGGCGAGGG